AGGGUGAACGCUAGCGGUGCGCCUAACACAUGCAAGUCGAGCGGGAAUACUGAGGAAGCUUGCUUUUUUAGUAUGAGAGCGGCGAACGGGUGAGUAACACGUUGGAAUAUGCCCCGAAGUCAGGGAUAGCCAUGGGAAACUGUGGGUAAUACCGGAUAGUCUCUUUGGAGUAAAAAUUUAUUGCUUUGGGAAUAGCCUGCGUUCUAUCAGCUAGUUGGUGGGGUAAGAGCCUACCAAGGCUAUGACGGAUAACUGGUCUGAGAGGAUGAUCAGUCACAAUGGAACUGAGACACGGUCCAUACUCCUACGGGAGGCAGCAGUGAGGAAUCUUCCACAAUGGGCGAAAGCCUGAUGGAGCGACACCGCGUGAAGGAAGAAGGCUUAACGGUUGUAAACUUCUUUUCUGAAGGAGCAUAAUGAGAGUACUUUAGGAAUAAGGGACGGCUAAAUACGUGCCAGCAGCCGCGGUAAUACGUAUGUCUCGAGCGUUACCCGGAAUUACUGGGUGUAAAGAGUUCGUAGGUGGAUUAUUAAGUCAGGUAUGAAAGACCGGAGCUUAACUUCGAGUUUGUGCUUGAAACUGGUAAUCUAGAAUUGGGGAGAGGUAAGUAGAAUUUUAAGUGUGAGGGGUGCAAUCCGUAGAUACUUAGAAGAAUACCAAAAGCGAAGGCAACUUACUGGAACCAUAUUGACGCUAAAGAACGAAAGCGUGGGGAGCGAAAAGGAUUAGAUACCCUUGUAGUCCACGCCCUAAACGAUGAUAACUUAGUGUUGCAUUUAGAUGCAGUGCUGAAGCUAACGCGAUAAGUUAUCCACCUGAGGAGUACGGUCGCAAGAUUAAAACUCAAAGGAAUAGACGGGGACCCACACAAGCAGUGGAUCACGUGGUUUAAUUCGAUAAUAAACGGGGAACCUUACCCAGACUUGACAUCCUAAGAAUCCAGUAGAGAUAUUGGAGUGCUCGCAAGAGAACUUAGAGACAGGUGCUGCAUGGUUGUCGUCAGCUCGUGCCUUGAGGUGUUCGGUUAAGUCCGUUAACGAGCGCAACCCAUGCCCUUAGUUAAAUUGUCUAAGGGGACUGCCUUGGUUAACAAGGAGGAAGGUGUGGAUGACGUCAAAUCAGCAUGGCUUUUACGUCUGGGGCUACACACAUGAUACAAUGGUAUGGGACAAAGAGUAGUGAACCCAAGAGGGGGAACCAAUCUAUAAAACAUAUCUCAGUCCGGAUUGGAGUCUGCAACUCGACUCCAUGAAGUUGGAAUUGCUAGUAAUCGUAAAUCAGACAUGUUACGGUGAAUGUGUUCCUGGGUCUUGUACUCACCGCCCGUCAAGGCAUGGGAGGUAGUAAUAUCGGAAGACCCCCUAGUAAUAAGGGGGUCCAUGGUAGGACUACUGACUGGGCUU
rnacentral:rRNA from 1 species